rnacentral:rRNA from 1 species
CGUGCCUAAUACAUGCAAGUCGAGCGGACUGAUUAGAAGCUUGCUUCUAUGACGUUAGUGGCGAACGGGUGAGUAACACGUAAGCAAUCUACCUUUAAGAAGGGAAUAAUUUCCGGAAACGGAUUGUAAUACCCUAUAGGAUAUUUGAUGGCAUCUGAUAAUGUUUAAAGGCGUUUAGGUAACUAAUCGUCACUUAAAGAUGAGCUUGCGGCGCAUUAGCUUGUUGGUGGGGUAACGGCCUACCAAGGCGAUGAUGCGUAGCCGGCCUGAGAGGGUGAACGGCCACACUGGGACUGAGACACGGCCCAGACUCCUACGGGAGGCAGCAGUAGGGAAUUUUCCACAAUGGACGAAAGUCUGAUGGGGCGAUGCCGCGUGAAUGAUGAAGGUCUUCGGAUUGUAAAGUUCUGUUGUAAGGGAAGAAAAAGAAUGAUAGGAAAUGAUCAUUAAUUGACGGUACCUUACCAGAAAGCCACGGCUAACUACGUGCCAGCCGCCGCAGUAAAAC